CGAACGGCUCCGUAUAUCUGUUAAAACCCGCCGCCCCUUAUGAAAGGUUGGUAAGCGGAUAUAGCUCGGUAAUUCUGUCAGUAAUACGUGUACGUGCAGCGCCCCCUGGAGGUUAGAGCCCGACGGCCACCUUAAGGAUGGGGGGAAUCCGGAGGUCACCACUCGCGAUGAGUCGGCCGGAUAGUACCAGAGCUUUCGGGCCUGAGGCGGCGGUUUUCAGACCUAUCAACUAGAGGCCUGCGUAGUGUGCAGGCCUGGUUUUAACGGGUACAGAGGAUCAGGGUUCGGUCCUGGAGAGGUAGCCCGAGAUAUCGCUACUACUUCUAAGGAAGGCAGCAGGCGCGCAACGUUCCCAAUGGGGCUCCCUGUAGUCCUGAGGACGUAACGGAACAUACCUAUGCCCCGCCUCUUAGGGCUGGGGUAAUCGGAAUGGGGGGAUUUUAAACCUCUACUACCGAGUAACAAUUAGAGGACAAGUCUG
rnacentral:rRNA from 1 species